UACGGAGGGUGCGAGCGUUGUCCGGAAUCAUUGGGCGUAAAGGGCGCGUAGGUGGCGGGACAAGCGUGCGGUGAAAGCCUGGGGCUCAACCCCGGGUCGGCCGUGCGAACUGGUGGACUAGAGCACUGUAGAGGCAGGUGGAAUUCCGGGUGUAGCGGUGGAAUGCGUAGAGAUCCGGAAGAACACCGGUGGCGAAGGCGGCCUGCUGGGCAGUUGCUGACGCUGAGGCGCGACAGCGUGGGGAGCAAACAGG
rnacentral:rRNA from 1 species